ACCCGAGCCUUCCUCCUCUCUUCCCCGAUCUCCCCUCUUCGCCUUCUCUGUUCUCUCUCGCGGACGGGCAACGGCGACGGGAGCAAGGCUCCUGCUCCGACGAUCCUUCUCCGUCGGCAUCGACGCCUAUUGAUCUCAGAUCCGGCCGGCGCUCUUCCUCUCCGGGUCGCAGACACGGCGUCGUGUCUCCUCUAGCCGAUAGCCGACGCCAUUGGAUCAAUCGCUGGCGUGGAAGAUGCCUUAGGGCUUCGAGGAUUGGUUCUCCUCUUCUUGCUGCUGAUUGGGGAAUUCGGUUGAAGAGGUUGAGAUCAGUGAGGUGUUCUUGCGUUGUCGGGCAGAGGCUAGCAGGAUUGUUGCUGGAUUAGUCAUCUUCUUGCUUGACCUCCUGUUGUGAUCCGACUGAUUUCCAGUGAGGUUCUGAUCCGAUCAGUGAGGUGAGUUUUGGUUACUAUGAUGUUCUGGUGUUGUGUUCUUUGAGCCAGUAGGAUUGUGUUCUGUGAAUUCAUCAGUGAGGGGCUGUUGAGGUGAGGAUCUAUUCUAGUGGUGUUUCCUUGCCAGCAACACACAAAACCAGCAUCAACAGUAGCUUGAUUGAGGACUCUGAUUCGAGACGGGCGUCUCGACUUCGGAUUUGGAUUGUACCUUCUAUUUGAGG